CAGCCCGCGGCCGCUCGAGCUGGGGACCCGCGGCCGGGGAGGCUCCGGAGAGGCGCGGCCCGGCCCCGGCCGAGAGGACCCCACCUACCUGAACAGCAGGAGCCUCUCGCCCAGGAGCGCCAGCGCCAUGCCCAGCAAGACACCCUCCCUGGGACACGGGGCCGUCCUCUCAGCGCCCGUCGAGGCUAAUGGAGUGAAACUCCGGAUUCCUGCACCUCCUUUCCCCAGCAAACAACGCCCACGAGGACCUUCGGCAGCCCUCCCGCCCUUCUCAUUUUCCUCCUCUUCAAAGAGGAGGAAAUAUCUUUAUCGAUAUUCCAGUUGUAGAUGAGAGGAAAGAACCAGCCUAACGAGACAAGGCCAUCUGCAAGGCCCCUGGCCUAACAAGAUAAGGCCCCGAACCAAUCAGCAAGCCAGGAGAAUCAGAGGCCACCGAGAUCCACCUGCCACAGCCUCUGGACUUUGGUGGGCCUACGCAUGCGCCCUAGCACCCAGGAGUCCACUGAAGGUGACCCUAGGUCCAUUAGCACAGUAAAAAACACACCUUGGGUGGAGAGCCAGCAUGCUAAUGAUACGUCGGUCCCAUGUGGUAGCACGCUACAUGAUCGCGCAGGUGCAAGCACAGUCCCACCUCUAUGUGCCAGGACAAGGCCCUCCUCCCCAGCCUUUGCCUGAUCAAAGCCCCGCAGUCUCGCCCAGUAACAAGCCGUCACGCGCCCCUUUCCUUUCUGCCUCCGCUCCCUUGUGCGUCGCCUGUGCACAAGCUAAUAAACUUUUA